rnacentral:misc_RNA from 1 species
ACACAUUCGAAAGUAGACAUCGAUGGUAUCGGGAUAUUUUAUAAAUGGUUAUAAGUUUCUUAGGAUAAAGCUUCAAGUAAACGUGGGCCUCAGUUUACACUUCACUUUUACUAUAUAUUUCUCCUGAGAACAGUCCUGUUUUUAAUUUGUGUUGAUUAGAAGACAUCCUGGAUCCAAAAAGGACACAAAACACCGGGUUUUGGGAUGCGGACUGCGCAAAACUAUUUUUGACAAACAUCCCGAGGAUGUCAACGACGCCGAAGCGAUAUAGUAAAAAACCCGCUGCCCCUUAUUUCAGUGACAUACAACUUUUCCGUCGUGUUGACAAGUACCUGGAGGGUAAAGACAAUGACAUUAUCCAAGACGCUAUCAACAAAGAGGCCAUGGUCUCCCACCUUAGGAACAUGUACAAAGAGUAUUCGAGGAGGAACAGAUCGGCGUUUAGAGCUACAGCUUUAAAAGCUUUUGACAUUAUAAAGCGGACGAUAAUGGAAGCCAAGUCGUAUGAAAAUGAGUACGAAACUGGACUUAGGCCAUUUGAAGAUGAUGACGACACAGAAUUAAUUGACACAAUGUCUAGUACACCGAAUUCGACUCAGAACCAUGGUUACAUGAACUCCAUUCAAGCGAUGGUCAAUAGAAGUGGUCAGGCAAAAGGGUCUAGAAGUGACGCGCAGGAGUUGAUAAACAUCAGCAGCGAUGAAGAUGAGCCGAAAAAAUCAAGGCACGUAAGCCCCGAUAAAUUCGAUGAUGACUCCAAGUCAGUAGACAGAUCGGCUUCUGGUUGCAAACAUUCGAUGCCACCGACAAAAAAACGAAAAUCGUAUAUGUCCAUGCAUCUUCAGCCUAUGAAGAAAAGGAGAGAGAUCAUCCCAGACAUAAUACCUGAUCUAAAUUACCAAGAUUUUGGAGGCUACCCUAAAGUUUUAGAAACUGUGAACAACUUAGUUCUUCAUUUUUACCAGUAUGAAAUUUUCUCUGUGCUUGGUGUAUCACCACCAAGGGGUUUUCUUCUUCAUGGCCCUCCUGGAUGUGGAAAAACCUAUUUAUCGCAAUGCAUUGCCGGUGAGUUAAGUUUGCCUUUGAUUAGUGUGGCCGGUCCAGAACUAGUCGGAGGCAUGUCUGGAGAAUCGGAGCAAAGAAUUAGAGAUCUUUUUGCGAGGGCGAGAGAUCAAGUACCGUGUGUCCUCUUCAUUGAUGAAAUUGAUGCAAUUUGCCAAUCAAGAGAAAAUGCAAAGAAAGAAAUGGAGAAAAGGAUUGUUUCACAGCUAAUCGCUUCAUUCGAUGAACUAAAUGAAUGCGAUGAAGGCAACGAGCUGAUUGUGAUAGGAGCGACAAACAGGUUGGAAGUGAUAGAUCCAGCGUUGCGUAGAGCUGGACGGUUCGAUAAAGAGGUAUGCCUUGGAAUACCAGGGAGGGAUGCAAGAGAGGGCAUACUCCAAGUCUUAUGUUCUAAAGUCAAAUUUAGCCAAGAGAUCUCAAUACCGAAGAUUGCGGAGUUGACCCCUGGUUAUGUCGCAGCAGAUUUAAAAGCCCUUAUUCGAGAAGCAGCUGUGAUCACUGUUAGAAGAUUUAUGUCGAACAUACCAAUGAAAAAAACUUUACCUGUUAAUGGGGUUAACAACUUAGAAGAAACUAAGGCGAAAGAUGAAGAGACUAAAAAAGACAGUAAAGAUGGUGAAGAGAACACCUCUAGUUCAAAAAAGGCUAGUUCCAAGGAACAGUCACCUGAAGAUGACAUCUGUGAAAUAAUUGAAGAGAUACCAGGAUCGGACUGUCCUCAACCGAGGUUUUACAAUAGAUUAAGAAUGGUGAAGAGCCUCCUCUCCCAAGACUUGGAAGAUCUUUGUAUAGGGAUGGAUGAUAUUACUGCUGCGAUCAAAACUGUUCAACCUUCAGCAAAGAGAGAAGGCUUCGCCACUGUGCCAGAUGUCACUUGGGAUGACAUUGGCUCCCUUCAGGAUAUCAGGAAUGAACUCAAAAUGUCAAUUAUGAUGCCUGUAAAAUAUCCAACAGAGUUUUCAAAAAUGGGAAUUGAGACCCCUUCUGGUAUAUUGUUGUGUGGCCCACCUGGUUGUGGGAAAACACUUUUAGCUAAAGCAGUUGCAAACGAGGCGAAUAUUAAUUUCAUUUCUGUCAAAGGACCAGAGCUUCUAAAUAUGUAUGUUGGGGAGAGUGAAAGAGCAGUACGUCAGUGUUUCCAGAGGGCGAAAAAUUCUCAACCUUGUGUUAUAUUCUUCGAUGAAAUUGAUGCCCUUUGCCCUAAAAGAUCGGAUUCUACUGAGGGAAGUGUCAGUUCAAGGAUGGUUAACCAAGUAUUGACUGAAAUGGAUGGGGUCGAAGGUCGUGAAGGUGUGUUUUUAAUGGCGGCUACAAACAGGCCAGACAUGGUUGACCCUGCUGUCCUUAGGCCUGGUCGUUUUGACAAGAUUCUUUAUGUAGGUCUUCCUUUAGGUGUAGAUCGUGUUGAAAUACUUAAAGCCAUUACAAAGAACGGCACAAAACCACCAUUGUCAAAUGAUGUCUCCCUCGAAGAAAUCGGGAGCAGCGGUAGUUGUGAAGGAUACUCAGGAGCAGAUCUAGCAGCUUUAGUGAAAGAAGCCUCACUCUUGGCCCUUACAGAAUACAUUAACGUCCUUGAGGGGCCUCAAGAAGAAAUGGUACCUGUAGAAGCUGAGGAAUUGAUAGUUCAUGCUAAACAUUUUACAAAAGCAAUAAGUAAAAUAAGACCUUCAGUUACGCCCAAGGACCAAAAGAGAUAUGAGUCACUUAAAAUUUUAUAUGGCCAACCUGGUAGAUCGGUUGAUCCUGAUACUGAAAUGGAUAUCGAAAACUAGUCCUAGUGAUGAUAAGGGAUUGCAAUUUGUUUAUUCAUUUAUUAAGUUGGCUAGUGUUUUUCCCUCUUACAAAAUCAAAUUUCUAAGCACUGAAAAACAUGGUUAUUGGCGGAACCAGAUUACAACUUACUUUCAUCGACAAACUUGCAUUAACAGUGACGUUGCUUGUUUGAGAAUCUAUUUGUUUGUACUG